GAUAAACGCUGGCGGCGUGCCUAACACAUGCAAGUCGAACGAAGAGGCCCCUUCGGGGGUACUUCAGUGGCGAAUGGGUGAGUAACACGUAGGUGACCUGCCCCGAAGCAGGGGAUAACGGCUCGAAAGGGCCGCUAAUACCCAAGAGGGUCGCGUGUCAUAACGCGAUCAGAGUUACGGCGUUUCGGGAGGGGCCUGCGGCCUAUCAGCUAGUUGGUAGGGUAACGGCCUACCAAGGCAAUGACGGGUAGGGGGCCUGAGAGGGUGGCCCCCCA
rnacentral:rRNA from 1 species